rnacentral:rRNA from 1 species
GAUGAACGCUGGCGGCGUGCCUAAUACAUGCAAGUCGAGCGAACGGACGAUAAUCUUGCUUCUCUGAUGUUAGCGGAGGACGGGUGAGUAACGCGUGUAAACCCUCCUUGACAUUCGGGUAAAAUUUGGGAAAACGGGCUCAUACCCCGUAUAAGCUUUUGAUCCAUGGGGUGCGAAGGAAAAAUUCGGCGUUUCGGGCUCUUAUCGCGGGUUCCCCGCUGCUUUGGCUGGUUGGUAGGUUAACGGCUUACCAAGGCAAGGAGGCAUAGCCGAACUGCGAGGGGGAUCGGCGACACUGGAAGUGAGACACGGUCCAGAGUCCUACGGGAGGCAGCAGUAGGGAAUCUGCCGCAAUGGGCGAAAGCAUGACGGAGCAACGGCGCGUGAGUGAUGAAGGUCUUGGGAUCGUAAAAAUCUGUUACUAGGGAAGAACAUAUGUGUAAGGAACUGUGCACAUAGUGACGGUAACUAAUCAGAAAGCACCGGCUAACUACGUG